GCAAAGGCUACCCUGUGGGAAGGAUAUGAUAAACUCUUGUUGUUGUGUCAUUAGUCUGAGUGGUAAACACAUGAAACAAGUUAAAACUUUCAACAACGGAUCUCUUGGUUCUCGCAUCGAUGAAGAACGCAGCGAAAUGCGAUAAGUAGUGUGAAUUGCAGAAUUCAGUGAAUCAUCGAAUCUUUGAACGCACAUUGCGCCUUCUGGUAUUCCGGGAGGCAUGCCUGUUCGAGCGUCAUCAAACACAUCCUCAAGCACUUUUGCUUGGUAUUGGUGGCAGAUGUCCGCAUCUCCUCUUAAAUUCCUCAGCGGAAACUACUGCGGUCUCAGGUGUCAUAAGAUUACCUUUCGCUUGAUAACUGCCGGUAGGUUCUUGCUGUGAAGAGCCCCCCAGCUAUUCUUUUACGUUUGACCUCGAAUCAGGUAGGGAUACCCGCUGAACUUAAGCAUAUCAAUAAGCGGAG
rnacentral:rRNA from 1 species